rnacentral:rRNA from 1 species
GACGAACGCUGGCGGCGUGCCUAAUACAUGCAAGUAGAACGCUGAAGGAGGAGCUUGCUUCUCUGGAUGAGUUGCGAACGGGUGAGUAACGCGUAGGUAACCUGCCUGGUAGCGGGGGAUAACUAUUGGAAACGAUAGCUAAUACCGCAUAAUAGUAGAUGUUGCAUGACAUUUGCUUAAAAGUUGCAAUUGCAUCACUACCAGAUGGACCUGCGUUGUAUUAGCUAGUUGGUGGGGUAACGGCUCACCAAGGCGACGAUACAUAGCCGACCUGAGAGGGUGAUCGGCCACACUGGGACUGAGACACGGCCCAGACUCCUACGGGAGGCAGCAGUAGGGAAUCUUCGGCAAUGGACGGAAGUCUGACCGAGCAACGCCGCGUGAGUGAAGAAGGUUUUCGGAUCGUAAAGCUCUGUUGUAAGAGAAGAACGAGUGUGAGAGUGGAAAGUUCACACUGUGACGGUAUCUUACCAGAAAGGGACGGCUAACUACGUG